rnacentral:rRNA from 1 species
UACAGAGGGUGCAAGCGUUAAUCGGAAUUACUGGGCGUAAAGCGAGCGUAGUCGGUUAUUUAAGUCGGGUGUGAAAGCCCCGGGCUCAACCUGGGAAUUGCAUUCGAUACUGGAUAGCUAGAGUUCGGCAGAGGGAAGCGGAAUUUCCGGUGUAGCGGUGAAAUGCGUAGAUAUCGGAAGGAACAUCAGUGGCGAAAGCGGCUUCCUGGACCAGAACUGACGAUCAGGCUCGAAAGCGUGGGAGCAAACAGG